GCUGGGCGUGGUGGCGGGUGCCUGUAGUCCCAGCUACUCGGGAAGUUGAGGCAGGAGAAUUGCUUGAACCCAGGAGGCAGAGGCUGCAGUGGGCCAAGAUCACGCCACUGCACUCCAGCCUGGGUGACAGAGUGAGACCCUGUCUCAA
rnacentral:SRP_RNA from 1 species